GUGGGGAAUAUUGGACAAUGGGCGAAAGCCUGAUCCAGCCAUGCCGCGUGUGUGAAGAAGGUCUUCGGAUUGUAAAGCACUUUAAGUUGGGAGGAAGGGCAGUAAGUUAAUACCUUGCUGUUUUGACGUUACCGACAGAAUAAGCACCGACUAACUUCGUGCCAGCAGCCGCGGUAAUACGAAGGGUGCAAGCGUUAAUCGGAAUUACUGGGCGUAAAGCGCGCGUAGGUGGUUUUGUAAGUUGGAGGUGAAAUCCCCGGGCUCAACCUGGGAACUGCCUCCAAAACUGCAUGACUAGAGUACGGUAGAGGGUAGUGGAAUUUCCUGUGUAGCGGUGAAAUGCGUAGAUAUAGGAAGGAACACCAGUGGCGAAGGCGACUACCUGGACUGAUACUGACACUGAGGUGCGAAAGCGUGGGGAGCAAACAGGAUUAGAUACCCGGGUAGUCC
rnacentral:rRNA from 1 species